rnacentral:rRNA from 1 species
UACGGAGGAUGCGAGCGUUAUCCGGAUUUAUUGGGUUUAAAGGGUGCGUAGGCGGACUGUCAAGUCAGCGGUAAAAUUGAGAGGCUCAACCUCUUCCCGCCGUUGAAACUGGUGGUCUUGAGUGGAUGAGAAGUACGCGGAAUGCGUGGUGUAGCGGUGAAGUGCAUAGAUAUCACGCAGAACUCCGAUUGCGAAGGCAGCGUACCGGCAUCCAACUGACACUGAGGCUCGAAAGCGUGGGGAGCAAACAGG